GUACAGUAAACAUUGCCUAAGUUGGUUCAGUUUAAUAGUUAAGUUACAAGUAAAGGUUGAAGCCAUGAGACUUCAGUGCUUGUUUUCUGCCAUUUGCCUUUUGUUUCUUGGCAGUCAGUGUGCUGGCCAAUUAAGCUAUUUUCGUGACUAUGAGAGGAGACAGCAAGUGGUUGACACUUUUGAGAAAGCUUUAAUAGCUAACUCCACUAACAUCUUCAUCCUACGAGACGCUCUUUUCCCAAGCAAUGACUACCCAUCAAGCAGUUUAUACAUUUUCUAUCGCGUGCAAUUACAUGAAAAUGUCACUUUUAAUACGAUAACACAAUGGUGCAGGACCAGUGUUUUAGUACAGGCUAGCUCUUGGAUGAUGCUAACACUAUCCUCUGGAUUGAUGGUCUAUGUUCAAGGGCAAAUUAACGAACAUAUAUUAUUUCCAUCCUAUAUAGGACUGUCUCUGAACAUUAGCAACAACAAUAUUGAAGGAGGAUUCAAUGAAACAGAUAUCAGAUAUGCUGUUCAAUACAUAACACCGUGGCUCCAGAGGUAUGCAACUUUAGAGUCGGGAGAGAAAAUAUCACAGCAAUUGCUUUCAAAUAAGGACAAGGGAUAUUUGUGUCAACACAGUUCAUUCAACCUACUUCUAGUGAUACUCACUGCAUGCAUAGUACUAUGGAUAGUUAUAUUGGCGAUUGUGAAAAUGUACCACGUAUCAAAAAUGGACGAGUUUGAGCAGAAGAUGAACUUGUCAAUUAUUCUCUCAAUAGGAAUAACAACUUUCCUAUUUAACAUCACUGAGAUUGUGUUGAACAUCAUCGUACUAGAUAUUUUUGUGAAGGCUCAACAACGUGCUUCUCCCGGCAGUAAUACAGGUCUUCUUGACCAGCACACUAACACAAGGUGGCUAGCUAUAAUAGCUUCAAUUGCCAUUUUCAUCAUUACAGCGAUAAUAACACAAAGUUUGCUUUACUGUUGCAACAAGUCAACUAAACUACCUACUUUCUCCAUCUGCUGCAUCAAAAUUAAAUGGCUCUAUCCAUUCAUUAUUGCAAGCUUUUUUACAUUCGUCUUAAUAGAAGGAGCAAACAUCACACCAAUGUUUCUGAUGCUACUUAAUGCACCACUGGUGACAAUUUCCAUAUUAGUGUUCAUUGUAACAUAUAUUGGUGCCACUGUACUAUGGUUUUCCUUCUAUAUUCUCAGUAGAUUUCAAGGUGAAACAUGGACAAAAGAAUCGUUUCUUGGAUUUACUUCUUCAAUAGUGCUUCUAUUAGUAAUAGGUGUUCUCACAUUGAUUUACAUGGUAACGCUAUUAAGUGCCACAAGCGAAGAGAGUCCUGAUCUGAUAACCUACGUUGUUACGCUAAUCCCAUCGAUCCUGUCUAUAAUUGUUGGAUACAAAGCAAAGGAGAAACUGUUCAAAUACAAAACGACGGGAACCAACAAAGAAGAACAACAUGAUAGUGAGAUUGCGACAGGAAACAAUGAAGAAGGAGAACAACAAGAACAUAGUGAGAUUGAUAUAGAAUAUAAUGACAGUGAACAGCUGUAUGUACGUUUCCCAGAAACCGUGAUUUAAAAUUUUUAUUCUUUAAUUGCUGACUAUAUAAUUGCUGACUAUAAUUGCGAGCACUAUAACUUAUCUAGACUGGAAUUGCACUACUUGUACGACAUAAUGCAAUGUGUGGAACUUAAUGAGUGUGUCUUUACCUAUGCAUUUGCUAUACCUAAAAUUACGUGUAGUUACCGAGAAUCAACAUAAGUAUAUGAAUAACCAAAUAAAAUUCAUCAUCAAAAAUGUCAACUUAACAACUGAAUUUGAUCAGUACGUGCAUAUAUAAGUAGAAGUUUGCAUCCAUCUAAAUCUAUAUAGCCAGAGAAAAAAUGAAGCUAUAUCAAGCAUUUGCAGUUUUCCUUGUACUAAUAGGUACAGGUAGCUGUACACAUUUGUGUAGCACUUACGAUGAGUUUGAAAGGUGUGAGCAGAUUAUCGAUACAUUUGAAGAAGCCUUAAUCAAUGAAGAAGCAAACAUUUUUGCACUUAGGACCCUUUUUUUCCCAAGCAACCAACGUCCAGCUUCCAACUUUUUGGUCGGAUAUCAUAUUAUCGGGCCUAGACAAGAUGGGAAUAUAACCCUUGAUGUCAGAGGCUGGUGCAAGAGCACUGUUCAUACAAUAGCAAGCCCAUAUAUGGUUCAAACACUCUUCACUGGACUAACUUAUCCCUAUCAUAUGGAAGUAAGUCGUCACACUCCAAUUCCAAGCCACCUACACAUAAACAUAACUGAAUACACCUUCAGUAAAGAGGAAACCACUUAUGCACUUGAGUAUAUCACACCAUGGCUUAAAAUGUAUGCAAGGAAAGAAACACAGUCAGAUAAAGUAUCAUAUAAGGAUGAAGAGAAAGGAUACACGUGUGAUAUCUACUCUUUUAAUUGGUAUUUAGCGGUGAUUACAGUGAUUGUAACUACAGCAGCAAUUUGCAUAUCCUGGAAGGUACUGGAUUAUUUAUUGAAUUCCAAAUCUGAACGAGCUGAGUUAAACAGGGCAAUGUUCUUCUCCUUAGGAUUUGUAGCUUUCUUUGUCAACAUUGUUGAUGUCGCUAUUAUUGUAUAUGAAAUAUACAUUUACAUUGAUGGAAUUCAGGAAGAAACAGACCAUGAUAUAAGAAAGAUUUCAUUAACAGAUUCGACUCUGGCGUGGCAUGGGAUAUUUAAAAUAUUGGAAAUAUCAGUUGGCCUUUUUGUAUUUGUUAUAGGGGGAGCCAUCACAACUCACUGCCUCUCAACUGUUCUUAAACAACCACAGCUAUGCAAUAUAAACCAUUCAUGCUCAAGCUCAGCAAAAAAUUGUUGCUCCUGUUGUUCCAAAUUUGCUUAUUUCCUAUAUUUUGCUAACUUCUUCUACUUCGCAUAUAUGGUUGGUCUAAAUGUAUUGCCAACAUUUUUGAUGCUUUUAAUUACACCAAUCGAAACGAUAUCUGUAUUGGUCUUCUAUGUGUCACUGCUGUCCAGUGCUGUAACGUUAGUGACCAUCAUCACAGUCCAAAUAAAGAUACAUACAUUGAAUGAAAGUGAUGGGACUGGAAGCAAUGGGACUGGAAGCAAUAGGACUGAAAGUGAUGGGACUGCUAACACGAAAGAUAAAAAGAAAGCAAUCCUUACAGGUUUCGUUUACUUUUUAGCACUGAUUUCCAUUGUUUUGCUUUUGGUGGUAUUUCUAUUGACAUUGGCUUCAACCACGAAUGAUAAUGCAUCAAAUCUUGCUACAGUUAUACUAUCUUUUGGCUCUGCAACAUUCUCAAUAUUAGGUGCCUAUUUCACCAAGAAAAUAUUGUCAAAGAAGAACAGCGCAACAAACAGUGGCAGUGAUCUGGAAAUAACUGAGAGGAAGAGCAGUGAAAACGAGACCGAUCCACUCCUUCUAAAAAGUCGUUGUCAGACAUUUUAAAGACACAUUACUCAGUUAGUAGACACUUAACUUGAACACAUACAUGUAAUUACAUCAUGUUAUACCAAUAAGCACUACACUAUAAAAAUUGUUUACUUACUUAUGGCAAGAGUGCAUAAGAAGAGAAGAGUGUCGAACUACUGAUACUUCUACACAAACACUGUGCACAAAGUAACAUGACUCGCACGUGAUAAAGCAUUGUAAAUUUACUAGUAAUCUCCUAGUAAAUGUUAACCGUGACGUUUUUAGGGGUGUGGUUUUCGAACAAUUCUAGCUAUUAAUUGUUCAAUGUUCGCGUUCAACGUUCAGAGCUUGUGGAGCUGCACACUGAUA